rnacentral:rRNA from 1 species
AUUGAACGCUGGCGGCAGGCCUAACACAUGCAAGUCGAACGAGUGGCGGACGGGUGAGUAAUGUCUGGGAAACUGCCUGAUGGAGGGGGAUGACUACUGGAAACGGUAGCUAAUACCGCAUACCAUCGGAUGUGCCCAGAUGGGAUUAGCUAGUCGGUGGGGUAAAGGCUCACCUAGGCGACGAUCCCUAGCUGGUCUGAGAGGAUGACCAGCCACACUGGAACUGAGACACGGUCCAGACUCCUACGGGAGGCAGCAGUGGGGAAUAUUGCACAAUGGGCGCAAGACUGAUGCAGCCAUGCCGCGUGUAUGAAGAAGGCUUUCGGGUUGUAAAGCACUUUCAGCGGGGAGGCGGUAUCCGCAGAAGAAGCACCGGCUAACUCCGUGCCAGCAGCCGCGGUAAUUC